GAAUAUUGGACAAUGGAGGCAACUCUGAUCCAGCCAUGCCGCGUGAGUGAAGAAGGCCUUCGGGUUGUAAAACUCUUUCAGUGGUGAAGAUGAUGACGGUAACCACAGAAGAAGCUCCGGCUAACUUCGUGCCAGCAGCCGCGGUAAUACGAAGGGGGCGAGCGUUGUUCGGAAUCACUGGGCUUAAAGCGUACGUAGGCGGCUAUUCAAGUCAGAAGUGAAAUCCCGGGGCUUAACCCCGGAACUGCUUUUGAAACUAGAUAGCUAGAGUCCCGGAGAGGUUAGGGGAAUUCCGAGUGUAGAGGUGAAAUCCGCAGAUAUUCGGAGGAACACCAGUGGCGUAGGCGCCUAACUGGACGGGAACUGACGCUGAGGUACGAAAGCGUGGGGAGCAAACAGG
rnacentral:rRNA from 1 species